AGUUUUGAUCAUGGCUCAGGAUGAACGCUGGCGGCGUGGCCUAAUACAUGCAAGUCGAACGCUUUGUCUUUAAYUGAUAUGAAGAGCUUGCUCUGAUUUGAUUUUAUCUGACAAAGAGUGGCGAACGGGUGAGUAACACGUGGGUAACCUACCUCUUAGCAGGGGAUAACAUUUGGAAACAAGUGCUAAUACCGUAUAAUACCAACAACCGCAUGGUUGUUGGUUGAAAGAUGGUUCUGCUAUCACUAAGAGAUGGACCCGCGGUGCAUUAGCUAGUUGGUAAGGUAACGGCUUACCAAGGCAAUGAUGCAUAGCCGAGUUGAGAGACUGAUCGGCCACAAUGGGACUGAGACACGGCCCAUACUCCUACGGGAGGCAGCAGUAGGGAAUCUUCCACAAUGGGCGCAAGCCUGAUGGAGCAACGCCGCGUGUGUGAUGAAGGGUUUCGGCUCGUAAAACACUGUUAUAAGAGAAGAACGGCACUGAGAGUAACUGUUCAGUGUGUGACGGUAUCUUACCAGAAAGGAACGGCUAAAUACGUGCCAGCAGCCGCGGUAAUACGUAUGUUCCAAGCGUUAUCCGGAUUUAUUGGGCGUAAAGCGAGCGCAGACGGUUAUUUAAGUCUGAAGUGAAAGCCCUCAGCUCAACUGAGGAAUGGCUUUGGAAACUGGAUGACUUGAGUGCAGUAGAGGAAAGUGGAACUCCAUGUGUAGCGG
rnacentral:rRNA from 1 species